rfam:Canis lupus familiaris chromosome 12, whole genome shotgun sequence.
GGGGAGAGGCCGGAUCCUCGGCUGUGUCCCGGCGCCCUGUGCUCGGGAGCCAGCGCUGUUGGAUUCGCGCUCCCGCCCCGCAGCCCCCU